rnacentral:lncRNA from 1 species
CUGGAUUUUGACGUAAUUUCUUAUGAUGUAGCUAGCAGGUGGUAGAGGUGUAUUUGAAUGUCGGCAGCACCCUAACAGCGAUUAGGAUGUCCUCCGUCUGCUAGUCUUCUUGAUCCUUGAAUUUUGUGGAGCUCAAAUAGACAACAAAGCUUUGUGGAACUAGUUAAGUGUUGUCAUAAAUAUCUUAGCGUUUAUCAUGUUGAGGCUCCUCUAAUAAAUGUUACUCUCUUUAGUAGGAUCAUAAUCUUAUUUUUAUAUUUUCAUUUUUAUAGAGCAGAAGAAAUAUUUAUUUUAUUUUUAUGCCACCACAGUGAAUGUACUUAUGGGUUUUAUGCCACUCAUAUACUCACAUGGAGCUUACUGUUUUUUAACAUUUUUAUUUCCUUUUAAGAUAGUAU